CCUACGGGUGGCAGCAGUGGGGAAUAUUGCACAAUGGGCGCAAGCCUGAUGCAGCCAUGCCGCGUGUGUGAAGAAGGCCUUCGGGUUGUAAAGCACUUUCAGCGGGGAGGAAGGCGUUAAGGUUAAUAACCUUGUCGAUUGACGUUACCCGCAGAAGAAGCACCGGCUAACUCCGUGCCAGCAGCCGCGGUAAUACGGAGGGUGCAAGCGUUAAUCGGAAUUACUGGGCGUGAAAGCGCACGCAGGCGGUCUGUCAAGUCGGAUGUGAAAUCCCCGGGCUCAACCUGGGAACUGCAUUCGAAACUGGCCGGCUAGAGUCUUGUAGAGGGGGGUAGAAUUCCAGGUGUAGCGGUGAAAUGCGUAGAGAUCUGGAGGAAUACCGGUGGCGAAGGCGGCCCCCUGGACAAAGACUGACGCUCAGGUGCGAAAGCGUGGGGAGCAAACAGGAUUAGAUACCCGGGUAGUC
rnacentral:rRNA from 1 species